GAUGAACGCUGGCGGCGUGCCUAAUACAUGCAAGUCGAGCGAACAGUUGAUGAGCUUGCUCCUCUGACGUUAGCGGCGGACGGGUGAGUAACACGUGGAUAACCUACCUAUAAGACUGGGAUAACUUCGGGAAACCGGAGCUAAUACCGGAUAAUAUAUUGAACCGCAAGGUUCAAUACUGAAAGACGGCUUUGCUGACACUUAUAAUUGUAUCCGCGUCGCAUUAGCUAGUUGGUAAGGUAACGGCUUACCAAGGCAAGGAUGCGUAGCCGACCUGAGAGGGUGAUCGGCCACACUGGAACUGAGACACGGUCCAGACUCCUACGGGAGGCAGCAGUAGGGAAUCUUCCGCAAUGGGCGAAAGCCUGACGGAGCAACGCCGCGUGAGUGAUGAAGGUCUUCGGAUCGUAAAACUCUGUUAUUAGGGAAGAAAAAAUGUGUAAGUAACUAUGCACGUCUUGACGGUACCUAAUCAGAAAGCCACGGCUAACUACGUG
rnacentral:rRNA from 1 species